CAGUCGCCACGGGAAUACGAAGGGGGCUUGCGUUGUUCGGAAUUACUGGGCGUAAAGCGCACGCAGGCGGCUCGAUAAAUUAGAAGUGAAAGCCUUGGGCUUAACCUGAGAAUUGCUUUUAAGACUGUCGAGCUAGAAUCCAGAAGAGGGUAGUGGAAUUCCGAGUGUAGAGGUGAAAUUCGUAGAUAUUCGCAAGAACACCAGUGGCGAAGGCGGCUCACUGGCCCGAUACUGACGCUGAGGCACGAAAGCGUGGGGAGCAAACAGGAUUAGAGACCCGCGUAGUCCCUGUCUCUUAUAC
rnacentral:rRNA from 1 species